UACGUAGGGACCAAGCGUUGUCCGGAAUCAUUGGGCGUAAAGAGCGUGUAGGCGGCUUGUUAAGUCUUGCGUGAAAUCUCGGGGCUCAACCCCGAGCGGUCGUGAGAAACUGGCAGGCUAGAGUGCGGGAGAGGAGAGUGGAAUUCCUGGUGUAGCGGUGAAAUGCGCAGAUAUCAGGAAGAACACCCGUGGCUAAGGCGGCUCUCUAGUACGGGUACUGACGCUGAGACGCGAAAAGCGUGGGGAGCGAACAGG
rnacentral:rRNA from 1 species